rnacentral:lncRNA from 1 species
GUUCUUCUAAAUAUCUCUAUGGCUUACUAUAGGAUUAAUAUUUCUGCCUAUAACAAAGCGGGACAAUCUCCACAAACCAUCUACACUGUCCCAGAUUUCUCUGCAACAGAUUUGCCUGGCCAAAUCAAUGUUAAGCCUCAUGGAACUAAUGCAGUUGUCACCUGGAAUCCAGAAUACAGUCCAAAAUGUUUUGUGGUUGACUGGGGCACUCGUAAAGAGGAUAUGCGCAUGAAAAUAGUAGCUACAGCUGCUGGAAAUUUCACAUUAGACAAUAUUAAUCCAUAUAAGUUGUACAAAAUCAUGGUGCAUGCAUCUGAUGCGUGUCAGUGUGAAAGUUUCAGAGGACAUGAAAAGACUUUUGGAGUAAUCCACUUUUACUCAGUUGAA